rnacentral:lncRNA from 1 species
UUUUAACUAUUUUGAUAUUACUAGCUAGUGAGAAAUUAAUUUUAUCCAAAAAAAAUAAGUCACUAUUCCGUAUUAAAGAAAUGUUAAAGGACUCUAACAACUCGACCAUUUAUUCUAAAGGAUAUAUUAAUUACCUACCAAAUUUUAGUCUUUUAAUGAUAUAAAAUAAAUCUUGAAGCCUAGUAAUUAUUCUAAGUUUAAAAUCUAAGAGGUAGCAUGGGAACAACUAAAUUUGCUAUAAUAUUCAAAAAAGUUAAUUCAAACAAGAACAUCCAAAAACAACAAUUCAAAAUGAUAAUGUGCGAAAUAUUAAACAAAAAUAAUAAUAAGUUUCUAUAGAAUAAAGCUUGCAAAGACGGAAGGAGGUACUAGACUGCUAGACAGAAAUAUGUAAUGCAAUAUUGUUCGCUUCUUUGAUUUAGACAGAGAUGGAGUAAGCCCUGAGACCCCAAAUACGCUCCCAAGUGUACAUGUGAAAUAAGAAAGAAAAUGAUAAGUAACAAAACCUAGAAUUAUUAAACCUACCAGAACAGGUAUAUUUAUUUAUGAUUAUGAAUAGCUAAAUUCAUAAAUUGCUAACAAUCAUGAUAUGAUAAAAUAAGUUCAUGUUAAUUACUUUAUAGUAGAAUUAUUCGAAAAAUAGCAUAUUAAGAAGUUUAUUAGCAAAGUGGAAAAGGAGAAAAAUCCCUAAGAAUUAUGUCAUCCUAAAGGUGAAACCGGUGAGGCAAAAAAACCGUGAUAGGGAAGUAGCCAGAGUAGAGGCGAGUUUGCUUCUUCUCCUGUAUCUAUCAUAGGUGUAUGAUACCUAUUAUAAUAUCCUUCUACUAUUAUUUUUACAAGUACAUAUAUUUUCAUAUCAUAUAUUUACAAGUACAAAACUCUUUCUAAAUUACCCAAUGCAAAUAGUAGAAGAGAGAAAAUUAAUGAGUCAAGCACCAAAAUGAUACAUCGGCCAGUAGCCUCAAUGAGUAGCACAAACUAAAAAAAUAUUCCAAACAUGACUCGAUAAUUUUACAAUUCAACUAGAAUUUGAUGAAACCAUUUACAAAUAAAAAUCUCAAUGAAACCAUUCAACACUUUAAAACCAAUCUAAGCAUGCUUACAGUAUGCAUAUCAUUUCCAAUCCUAUCCCCAAAAAGUAUUACAAUCAACAUGUUCAAAUAUAUUUUAAUGAGAUUACAACAAAAGGUCCCAUAAGCAGUCCAUUCAAGGCACAUUGAGCAGUCUAUAAAAGGUUCUACUAGAACUUAAACAAAUAAAAUGAACCGUGUCAUAUUUACAUACUAAUUAACUAUCACAAGUGUAGUUUCGAUUAACUUGGCCAAUACCAUACUCCUAAAACACAAGCUUUAUUCAAAUCUUACUAAGCUUGGGGUGCUAAAGGAGACACUAGGACACAACUCGUAGAUUAGGAGAACUCACGAGGGGCUUUACUUAUCAAAAAAAGAAAGAUCAAUACAAGAACUCCAGUUUUCCAGUGGUUCCAUGAAACAAAAGAAAGGAGGAAAGAAUUAAAAUCAAAGUCAGUUGAAACAAACGAAAUGAACUCGACAACAUGCACAUAGUGUUUGAAUCCAAGUAUGAACCAAGUAUGAUACCAUAUUUAACUUAGAUGAUCCACAAAAACAAAGUUAAGGAAUAUUACUACUAUCACAUUAUCCAGGUUAUCACUUACACAUUUGAAUACCACAGUCAGUUAAUUAGGUUAAACAGGGGAGGGACAAAUUAGAUAUGUUGAGGUGGUUACUAUGGCCUAACUCUUAACAAGUUAAUCUUGAUAGUCCUAAAUUCACUACUAAAAUAAUAAGUCUGACCUAAAUAACCAAAAAGAGAUCCUGGAAAUAGUGGGAAGUAUAAAAAAAAAAAACUUGCUAAAAGUUAUGAGUGAUUACGUUUUGAAAAUUUAAAUUGAGAAGAUGCAAAAAUGGGCUCAAAUUAAUAUAGUGCAACAUAAGUGAAAGUGAAUCAUACAAAAACUUAAAAGACAUAAUCCCCUCUCCUUUUCCACAAUAUAAGAAACUUCCAUUUCAUGAUCAAUGGGUAAGCAAAGCUAUAUUUUUGCUAAAAGUGAAAUUCACAAGGGUAAAGCAUCCUUGUUAGUACAGGAAACAAAAUCAAUUAACCGAAACGACUUCACAAAUACAUUUUUGUGGAACUUUCACGAAUCUAAGAAUCAUUUUUUAAAUACGAUACCUCAAAAAGCUCAUGGGUAGUCAGGUUGAGAUCUUACGCAAGCAAAUAAUUGAAUUUAAGGUAAUAAUAACGAAAAAGACAAACGUUAAUCUUUAAACUAAGUUCAAGCUAGCGAUGAAAACUUUAUACUCAUUUAAGCACAUUUAGGCUUGAGUUACUGCUUCUAUAUGCAUGUUAUGAAAAUAUGCAAACUGACCUACAAGCAAAUAGCUAGCUCCACUUAAAAAUUUUAAAACAACAGUCUUUUCCACAAAUCUGGAAGCUAAAGAUGUUUUAAAAAAUAUGCACGGUGAAUCAGAGACAUAACUAAGUAAGAGUUUCCAUGAUUUAUUACGCAGAUUUUACAAUGGGUAGUCAAGACAUACUUACAAUUUUAAGAACUUUAUAGCAUUUUUCAUGAAAAACUGAAAGCUGCGAACAUCUUAUAAACACACAACUAUGCACGCAACAUACUAGACAAACACAGCGGUAUUAAGAGACAUCCGUAAUGAUACUAUAGUUAUCCUUUUUGGGGAAGAGAACUACGGCUUCCUCGUUGGAGAUCCAAAUUUAAACUCAAACUUUGAUUUUGGAAAGAGAGCAAGAGAAAUAAGGAAUAAUUGGAUGAAUUUGUUAAUAUUUUUUUGUAUUGCUAAUUGCUGAUUCUUGGUCUUUUUUAAUUCUUCCCCUAAACAUGGGAGCCCAAGGACUCCAUUUUAUAGCCGGAUCUAAGGGUACUGCAACGAUUAUCACUAGAGGCUUCAAGAAUUCAGAUUUUGAAUUCUUGGAAGGCCAAAAUCUUAUAGAGAAACAAAGGGGCCAAAUUAGAAGAAGAAGAAGAAAAAGCCUGAUUGUUCACAUUUUCAGGUUGACGUGAAGAGGGAAAAGGGGUAUUUGAAGGUGGAAGACCUGGAACCAUCGAAUUUAAGGGAUAACAACCUCUAAUCUGAGUUCUUCACUCCCUUCAACUUUUUCAGAAGUUGCAGUAUCUCUGUUUUAAGAACAAAAGUUGUGGAAAAGAUGAGUGAAGUGACCGACAGAUAAAAUAAUGAAAAAGAAGGGGAAAGGCUAAGACCACUGGAACUCGCCAUUAUCCAGUGGUCUAGGGAAUGGUUGGCGUUUGCAGGUUGGAGAGAAGAGAUCACUAGUUUUGGUUUAGUUUCAACGACAAAUGUUAAGGGAGUAUUAGGGUUGGUUAGGCUAAUGGGAUACUUCGGUCGGGUUUUCCGUAUAAUAGUGGGUUGAUUCAGCUGAUAAUUGGGAUAGGAGUUAUAUUUAG